AUUGAACGCUGGCGGCAGGCCUAACACAUGCAAGUCGAGCGGAUGAAGAGAGCUUGCUCUUUGAUUCAGCGGCGGACGGGUGAGUAAUGCCUAGGAAUCUGCCUGAUAGUGGGGGACAACGUUUCGAAAGGAACGCUAAUACCGCAUACGUCCUACGGGAGAAAGCAGGGGACCAUCGGGCCUUGCGCUAUCAGAUGAGCCUAGGUCGGAUUAGCUAGUUGGUGAGGUAAUGGCUCACCAAGGCGACGAUCCGUAACUGGUCUGAGAGGAUGAUCAGUCACACUGGAACUGAGACACGGUCCAGACUCCUACGGGAGGCAGCAGUGGGGAAUAUUGGACAAUGGGCGAAAGCCUGAUCCAGCCAUGCCGCGUGUGUGAAGAAGGUCUUCGGAUUGUAAAGCACUUUAAGUUGGGAGGAAGGGCAUUAACCUAAUACGUUAGUGUUUUGACGUUACCGACAGAAUAAGCACCGGCUAACUUCGUGCCAGCAGCCGCGGUAAUACGAAGGGUGCAAGCGUUAAUCGGAAUUACUGGGCGUAAAGCGCGCGUAGGUGGUUUGUUAAGUUGAAUGUGAAAGCCCCGGGCUCAACCUGGGAACUGCAUCCAAAACUGGCAAGCUAGAGUAUGGCAGAGGGUGGUGGAAUUUCCUGUGUAGCGGUGAAAUGCGUAGAUAUAGGAAGGAACACCAGUGGCGAAGGCGACCACCUGGGCUAAUACUGACACUGAGGUGCGAAAGCGUGGGGAGCAAACAGGAUUAGAUACCCUGGUAGUCCACGCCGUAAACGAUGUCGACUAGCCGUUGGGAUCCUUGAGAUCUUAGUGGCGCAGCUAACGCAUUAAGUCGACCGCCUGGGGAGUACGGCCGCAAGGUUAA
rnacentral:rRNA from 1 species